AUAGGUGCAGGUCUGGGCGUGGAGAGCGUUCACGCAGCGCGCGCGAAAAGGCUCACCAGUGGGACUACGCUGUCUCGGCAGCGAAGCAGCAGGGCGGAGACACUCCACACGACACGAAAUCACCGGCGAGUCUCGCAGGCAGCGGCUUGUGCCUCGCCUUGGGCCAUGAAUGCACCUAACAAACGUGGUCAACGCGCUGGAGCAUACGCGUCGAAAAAACACAGCUCAGUGCGGCAAACUCACGAACGCUCAUUGCGGGAGCGUGCGGAACACGCACAUAGCGCUGUUGCGUGAGCAAGAAACAGUAUUUACGAAGCAUUCUAGUCCUGGUCAAGUUGCGAGUGACGGACUUACAUGUCCUGCGUAUCGCGUACCGGGUUUAUAGGCGGGCUGUGGGCGCGCUCCCCUCGAGUCGCAAGGUGUUGCAGGCUUUCCGCUUCGGUGCCCUUCAAACGUUCCACUGCAAAAACCUGAUCAACUACAGCGAUUCAGUGGACUGGAGCUCGAGGAGUACACCACGUUUUGCAGGCGUAUCAAGCGUGCUGAUCGUCAAACUGCUCGUGUCUGCUUCAAUUGUCGAGCUCUUCAGGGGCUUGCUGACGUGCUUCUCUAGAUAGUCGGAUAUGAGAACGUAUUUUUGGUGUUGUUGUCCGCCGUCAGGUGCCAGGGCACCAACUCUAAAUGGUGCGCCUCGAACGACUGCGAAGUUUUCCUUAUCAAGUGGAUUCGAAGGCGAGAGCCCGAACAGUCCUUCUUUUCCGGAAGAAUGCUCAUCUUCCGUGCUUGACGACAGGAUAGACGCCUCUCCGUCAUUAUGGCUUUUCUGUAUGCCGGUCGCAAUCACCAGCGCCGGCUCACGACUGAGAUUCUUCUCCAAAUCAUAUUGUGACCGGUGCAUUUUCACGAUUUUCUCAAUAGCUUUUGCCAGUGGUGGACAGGCGUUGCCGAUACGCCGCUGGAGGGCGUCAGCCCAAGCGAAAUACUCUGCGGUUCGUUGCUGGCUCCACCCGUGCGGGCGGCCCUGCUCACAUGCAAGAAUCUCACGCAAGUUCACGAGUUUGUCAGCGAGUCGAACCAUUUUGGCCUCCUUACUCUUCAACAUGCUACAGGCAGCCUCAAUUUUUUUGCGGUCCAUCCGGGUCAGCAUGCUGGAAGCUUUCAUGACGCGCCAGUCCUUCGCUCUUCCCCACAUGUUUGAGAGUCCUUUUUCAGAGCCAGGUGUUUCCCCUUGCACGGCCGUAUCCGAUCCCUUCACGUCAUUUGGCUGGGCUCUCGAGAAGAGACGUGUCCACAGGGACCGUUCAGUGGAAGCUCCAGUCGCUCUUGCGGUGCUCUCUUCAUGGAGCAUAUUAGUGCUUUUCUUCUCAGUGAGAAAGUCAUUCUGUAGUCUUGCUCUUUGAUCCAAAGGAUGUUGCACGGUUUUCUCAGCGAGAUGGCGGCUUAGAACACGUUUUUCCGCCCAACAUUCACGCACAAUGCUGGAAAUUUCAAUGCCGAACUCCUUUUCGAUCUCGACGAUGGAAGCACUCGAAGCGGAUGAUGCGUUUGCAGCAGUCAAGAGAAGCUUGCCAUCGUGGUUUUCGUCCAAGUCGUCAGGCAAAGCUUCUUGCGUCAAAGCGUUUUCAGUGUGUGCAGCAAAGUGCUCAUCGCUGAUGGCAUGACAAAGAAUGCCGGCCAGAAUAACCCGACCAUCUCGGACGCGACCAUCGUGCCACAGUGCAUACGCAACAUUCAGUGCAUGAUUAAUGUAGGGUGUACGUUCUGUAUCCUUGCGGCGAUGGUUCCGAUGCUUCCGUGCAGCGAAAACGCAAGCGUGAAGCAGCAUAGCGAUGAAAUCGUCCGGCGUGCGGCACCAACGAGCUGGUUUCUGUUUGAGUGGACGACGCUGCUUCAGUAUUGCAGCAAGCUCCUCGGACCAUAUGCGCUCUUGCUCACUCAACUCGACCACAGUGCUGGCAUCAGUGCGUUCGAGAGCAGGCUCGCCGGUUUCUGCACUCGCGGAGAGAACGCCAUCCUGCUUCACUGCCUGCUCAGCGUCUUGCGCGGUACCGUGCACAGCUGCGUCAACAGCACUAGGCGCUUUCGAGUCUGCAGACUGGCUCUUCAAUGACUGGAGACGCUGCACAGAGGCGCGAUGCGCAGCAACUGCCCGAAUUACCUGGUCGAUUAGAAGCUCUUCCUGCUCCGACGCAGCAACGCCGUCCCCCUCAAAUACUUCUGCGCCAGUGACUCUCAGAAUCACUGAAGACGUCGUUACGACUGAGGGUGCCGGGUCUGAGCGGCGCACCUUGGUCAGCUUCGUGGAAGACGGCCGCUGGUUUCCGCGGAGCAGCCAACCGAGUCCAAAAGCGAUCAAGGACGACAACACCUCGGCAGAAACAGCGUGUGUUGAAGAAGAAUGAUCCCGUUUCUCCUCUGAGCUCAUCGUAUCGCCUCGUACGUAACAAAAGGCAAAUAAAAUGCAGCGUCUUGCGCGCUGCUACCAGCACCCUUUGAGUCCGUAACAGCACGCGAUCCCGUCGCAUCUGCAGCGUCCUCGAGGGGGGGCGUUCAAAAUCCAGUGGCGCGCAUUCGGGGACACGCCACCAGCGUCACGCGGGCAGGCGCGUCGCUUUGGGACGCACGCGCGAUGUCACAGAUGCAUCGCAGCUCGAUCAGGACAGAGGUAAGGUUCUUUUCUAUACAUCAAGGAAUGAAAUUGAAAUUCA